ACUCUUGUAGCUCAGUUGGUUAGAGCACCGGUUUAGUAAGCGGGAGGUCUGGAAUUCAACUCUCAACAAGAGCA
rnacentral:tRNA from 1 species